AAAUUUAAACCUUAAGGAGGCGCUGAAUAGCGACGCCAUGAACAAACCGGACAUUCCGGGAAAAUCUUGGAAAAUCUGUAGAACCAUGAAUGGCACAACCUGAAAUUCUAUGAACGAUGAAAACACUUCACACCAUUAACUGAACAGUAAACAGAUCACUCACCUAUUAGCGUCCUUCUGAGUUGGAGUGGAGACGAUUCGUUGUAUCGAAGUUUGACCUGUAUUUAAGCUGACCAUUCGGAGGCAGCCACCAACAACCAGACUCCAAAAGGUGUGGCGGACGGUCGGGUCAGGGUUAAAGCUAUCAAACAGUUAAAAUAAUGUAUAAACGGAGAUGAAACGUAUCAGACAGCGUUUUACCAAAUGAUAGGCUGCAUUGGUAAACUAGAUUGUUAUAAUGACCAUACAAUUUGCGAAAUGCUGACUUUAAACAAAAUUAUCGUAAACAUCAACUUAUUUGUCAGUAGCCUGCCUCGAUUCAAAACCUGAUCAUACACAGAAUAAUCUCUUGCGUAUCGAAUCAGUUGAUGCAUAAACGUCAUAUGCAGGACAUAAUGGUGCAUUACGACAUAGAUAUUGGAAGUUCAUGAUGAGAGAAGCUGAUGUGGGGUUAAAAAUUGAAUUGGAAAUCACGCAGACAUUCAUUUGUUUACAUAUGUCUCCAAUAACGACUGACAUAAUUAUUUUGUAUGAAAUCAGAACAGAACUUCUGAUUUUCAAGAGAUGAUGGCAUCUCAUCAACUCAAAGCUCGGGUUUUUACGAGGAUCGACACGUGCAAAGAUCUUGCAUACCCCCCCCCCCUUUCCAAAAUAAAAAAAAAAAUCAAUUAAAUUAGGAAA